CCUACGGGAGGCAGCAGUGGGGAAUAUUGGACAAUGGGCGAAAGCCUGAUCCAGCCAUGCCGCGUGUGUGAAGAAGGUCUUCGGAUUGUAAAGCACUUUAAGUUGGGAGGAAGGGCAGUAAGUUAAUACCUUGCUGCUUUGACGUUACCGACAGAAUAAGCACCGGCUAACUUCGUGCCAGCAGCCGCGGUAAU
rnacentral:rRNA from 1 species